CAAAAAAAAAAAGAAACAGGUAAGCAUCUCUGGACCAGAUGCUGAGAACUCUACUCUUCUUCCAGGUAAGAUAAGGAAUUUUCAUCUUCUUAAGGAGUAUUUUGUGCAUAUGACUGGGCUGUGGAUUCUAUAAUCCUUGUGAGUGGGCUUAGCUGUGGUGCCAUUAUCCACUCUACUGACUCUUUGCUAAUUUUUAGCCUAUUCAUACAGGAAAGACUGGCUAUUACAACCUUGUAUUCCUUGGCCAGUCCUACAUAGAGUCAUCUUAGGGUUUCUAACACCCCUAUAUAUAUGGGGCAUGAAGGUAGUGUUUUCCUUAAUGGCCUUGUCAUUUUUCUGCUCUGAGCAACAUGUUUAGGAGACACGUGAGGUUAAUUGGUAUCUCUCAGAGCAGCAACUUUACCAUGAUGGUCCCACAGGGCAGGCUCCUCCCCCAACCUCUCACAGACAGGCUUUCUCUCUUCUUCUCUCAUCUUGCAAACCAGCGUCACUGCCCAGAAGAGAGCCUGCAACACUGCCACCUGCGUGACCCAGCGGCUGGCAGGCUUGCUGAGCAGGUCAGGGGGUGUGGUGAAGGACAACUUCAUAGCCACUGAUGUGGGCUCCAAAGCCUUCGGCCGGCGCCGCAGGGAUCUUCAGGCCUGAGCAGUUCACUGGCUCCAGGAAGCAGGUCACAUUGAAGCUAAACUCAAUUUCUUUUAGUGUACAAUGAAGGCAGUUUGUAGGGAAGGCUCUGUGGAAGACCUACAUAUUCGUAUAUUUCUUCAUAUUGAAACUAUCUUUUUUGUUUGAAAAGAACUAAAGCUAAGCGCAGAAUACUCUCAUUGCAGUUACCUGUUGUGCAUUGUUUUUUACAUUUAAUUCUGUCUCCAAUAAACAUGACAGCAUGUCUCAUAGGCCUAUCUGGUAACAAAUCUGGUCCCCCUCGGCUAUCCUGUGAUGCUGGCAACUCUGCCAAACCUCAGGGGGACAUGAAAUCACUGCCUCUGGAGUGUCUGGGGACGCAUGGUAAUGCUGCGGCUUGAUGGAACAAUCUAUUUAAAGAAAUGUCAACGUUGUCAUUUGUGAACUUCAUCAAAAUUAAAAAUGUAUUUUCAAUACCCUUAAA